GUCCAGGACCCGCAUAUCUGACCGGGGCUACAAGGUCACAAACAGACCCACAAGUGCUCGCCUUCAUGGAAAGGAUACUACAUGUGUUAAAUAGCAUGAAGCACACACAGCAAGCCCAUUCGCAAUAUUUCAACGAGCUGCUAAGUAAUGCCGACAGUGCAGCUCCACACCCUCAUGGCCUCCCAGACCUGCCUUUCUCGAAUGUGGCGGAUGUUCUUGCGUAUGAAGAGAAGCUCGAGACAGACAGCAAAGCUCAUGAUCAAAUGAAAAAGCACAUGGCUGUACAAGGGGGAGAUUCGACGAAACUGAAAACAACACGUGUACUGCAGUCCCUCCUCAGCUGGAAUGCUGCAGUGGGCUUCAGUUGGUUUGGCACAAAGGGAAAGAAAAUUCUGUGAACUGCACCUCUGCAAGCUGAUGUGCGGCGUGUUGACUAAUGACAUCCGAAACCCGAAUGCGACCCUGAAGGAUGUGGAGAAGGCCGCGAUGACCUGGU
rnacentral:lncRNA from 1 species